GAAAUGCGAUAAGUAAUGUGAAUUGCAGAAUUCAGUGAAUCAUCGAAUCUUUGAACGCACAUUGCGCCCGCCAGUAUUCUGGCGGGCAUGCCUGUCCGAGCGUCAUUUCAACCAUCAAGCCCCCGGGCUUGUGUUGGGGACCUGCGGCUGCCCGCAGGCCCUGAAAACCAGUGGCGGGCUCGCUGUCACACCGAGCGUAGUAGCAAUCACCUCGCUCAGGGCGUGCUGCGGGUUCCCGCCGUUAAACAGCCUUACAAAACCCAAGGUUGACCUCGGAUCAGGUAGGAAGACCCGCUGAACUUAAGC
rnacentral:misc_RNA from 1 species